rnacentral:rRNA from 1 species
UACGUAGGUGGCAAGCGUUGUUCGGAUUUAUUGGGUUUAAAGGGUGCGUAGGUGGUCUAUUAAGUCAGUGCUGAAAUAUCCCGGCUUAACCGGGAGGGUGGCAUUGAUACUGAUGGACUUGAGUGGAGUUGAGGUAGGCGGAAUUGACGGUGUAGCGGUGAAAUGCUUAGAUAUCGUCAAGAACACCGAUAGCGAAGGCAGCUUACCAAGCUCUAACUGACACUGAUGCACGAAAGUGUGGGGAUCAAACAGG